ensembl:snRNA U6 U6 spliceosomal RNA
GUGCUCGCUUCGGCAGCACACACACUAAAAUUGGAACAAUACCGAGAAGAUAAGCAUGGCCCGUGCGAAGGAUGACACGCAAAUUUGCAAAGCGUUCUGUUCUAUA